UAACACAAAAAAUUAAAACAACUAGAAUACAAGAACUAUGCGAUUACAAUCAUCAAAACAAUUUUGAACAUGUAAUGCAUCAUCCUACGAGCGUCUUUGUCGGUCUUAAUAUCCACCCAUUCACGCACUUCUCCGUGUUGAUUGAACGUGGACACAAGCCAUUGUAUUCUUCUAAUCCGUUCACCCUCUCCAAUUUCUCCCUCUAACCAACUGUACAACGUCCGAUUAAGACGUUCAAACGUAU
rnacentral:lncRNA from 1 species